rnacentral:rRNA from 1 species
UACGUAGGGUGCGAGCGUUAAUCGGAAUACUGGGCGUAAAGCGUGCGCAGGCGGUGAUGUAAGACCGAUGUGAAAUCCCCGGGCUUAACCUGGGAACUGCAUUGGUGACUGCAUUGCUGGAGUAUGGCAGAGGGGGGUGGAAUUCCACGUGUAGCAGUGAAAUGCGUAGAGAUGUGGAGGAACACCGAUGGCGAAGGCAGCCCCCUGGGCCAAUACUGACGCUCAUGCACGAAAGCGUGGGGAGCGAAACAAGG